rnacentral:misc_RNA from 1 species
GAUGAAGAACGCAGCGAAAUGCGAUAGUAAUGUGAAUUGCAGAAUUCAGUGAAUCAUCGAAUCUUUGAACGCAAAUUGCGCCCCUUGGUAUUCCGAGGGGCAUGUCUGUUCGAGCGUCAUAUUAACCACUCCCGCUUGCGGGGUCUUGGGCUUCGCCUCCGGGCGGGCCUUAAAAUCAGUGGCGGUGCCGUCGGGCUCUACGCGUAGUAAAUUUUCUCGCGAUAGGGUCCCGGUGGAUGCUUGCCAACAACCCCCAACUUCUUAAGGUUGACCUCGGAUCAGGUAGGGAUACCCGCUGAACUUAAGCAUAUCAAUAAGCGGAGGA